rnacentral:rRNA from 1 species
AGUCGAGCGAACAGAUGAGAAGCUUGCUUCUCUGAUGUUAGCGGCGGACGGGUGAGUAACACGUGGGUAACCUACCUAUAAGACUGGGAUAACUCCGGGAAACCGGGGCUAAUACCGGAUAAUAUUUUGAACCGCAUGGUUCAAUAGUGAAAGACGGUUUCGGCUGUCACUUAUAGAUGGACCCGCGCCGUAUUAGCUAGUUGGUAAGGUAACGGCUUACCAAGGCGACGAUACGUAGCCGACCUGAGAGGGUGAUCGGCCACACUGGAACUGAGACACGGUCCAGACUCCUACGGGAGGCAGCAGUAGGGAAUCUUCCGCAAUGGGCGAAAGCCUGACGGAGCAACGCCGCGUGAGUGAUGAAGGUCUUCGGAUCGUAAAACUCUGUUGUUAGGGAAGAACAAAUUUGUUAGUAACUGAACAAGUCUUGACGGUACCUAACCAGAAAGCCACGGCUAACUACGUGCCAGCAGCCGCGGUAAUACGUAGGUGGCAAGCGUUAUCCGGAAUUAUUGGGCGUAAAGCGCGCGUGGGCGGUUUCCUAAGUCUGAUGUGAAAGCCCACGG